rnacentral:rRNA from 1 species
AGAGUUUGAUCAUGGCUCAGAUUGAACGCUGGCGGCAGGCCUAACACAUGCAAGUCGAGCGGAUGAAGGGAGCUUGCUCCUGGAUUCAGCGGCGGACGGGUGAGUAAUGCCUAGGAAUCUGCCUGGUAGUGGGGGAUAACGUCCGGAAACGGGCGCUAAUACCGCAUACGUCCUGAGGGAGAAAGUGGGGGAUCUUCGGACCUCACGCUAUCAGAUGAGCCUAGGUCGGAUUAGCUAGUUGGUGGGGUAAAGGCCUACCAAGGCGACGAUCCGUAACUGGUCUGAGAGGAUGAUCAGUCACACUGGAACUGAGACACGGUCCAGACUCCUACGGGAGGCAGCAGUGGGGAAUAUUGGACAAUGGGCGAAAGCCUGAUCCAGCCAUGCCGCGUGUGUGAAGAAGGUCUUCGGAUUGUAAAGCACUUUAAGUUGGGAGGAAGGGCAGUAAGUUAAUACCUUGCUGUUUUGACGUUACCAACAGAAUAAGCACCGGCUAACUUCGUGCCAGCAGCCGCGGUAAUACGAAGGGUGCAAGCGUUAAUCGGAAUUACUGGGCGUAAAGCGCGCGUAGGUGGUUCAGCAAGUUGGAUGUGAAAUCCCCGGGCUCAACCUGGGAACUGCAUCCAAAACUACUGAGCUAGAGUACGGUAGAGGGUGGUGGAAUUUCCUGUGUAGCGGUGAAAUGCGUAGAUAUAGGAAGGAACACCAGUGGCGAAGGCGACCACCUGGACUGAUACUGACACUGAGGUGCGAAAGCGUGGGGAGCAAACGGGAUUAGAUACCCUGGUAGUCCACGCCGUAAACGAUGUCGACUAGCCGUUGGGAUCCUUGAGAUCUUAGUGGCGCAGCUAACGCGAUAAGUCGACCGCCUGGGGAGUACGGCCGCAAGGUUAAAACUCAAAUGAAUUGACGGGGGCCCGCACAAGCGGUGGAGCAUGUGGUUUAAUUCGAAGCAACGCGAAGAACCUUACCUGGCCUUGACAUGCUGAGAACUUUCCAGAGAUGGAUUGGUGCCUUCGGGAACUCAGACACAGGUGCUGCAUGGCUGUCGUCAGCUCGUGUCGUGAGAUGUUGGGUUAAGUCCCGUAACGAGCGCAACCCUUGUCCUUAGUUACCAGCACCUCGGGUGGGCACUCUAAGGAGACUGCCGGUGACAAACCGGAGGAAGGUGGGGAUGACGUCAAGUCAUCAUGGCCCUUACGGCCAGGGCUACACACGUGCUACAAUGGUCGGUACAAAGGGUUGCCAAGCCGCGAGGUGGAGCUAAUCCCAUAAAACCGAUCGUAGUCCGGAUCGCAGUCUGCAACUCGACUGCGUGAAGUCGGAAUCGCUAGUAAUCGUGAAUCAGAAUGUCACGGUGAAUACGUUCCCGGGCCUUGUACACACCGCCCGUCACACCAUGGGAGUGGGUUGCUCCAGAAGUAGCUAGUCUAACCGCAAGGGGGACGGUUACCACGGAGUGAUUCAUGACUGGGGUGAAGUCGUAACAAGGUA